AGAUUAAGAGUGAGGCUGCCAGCAGGAGCCCCUGCCAGGGGACAAGUCCUCUGUGGGCAGGGGCUGAAGGGGAAUCCAUGGUGUCUGCUGCCUGCUUUGUCCCUCCCUCUGUGGGAAGAUCUUGGAUUCCAAAAAUGCUCACAAGCACUGCUGUCCUGGUGGUGGGAUGUGCUGUUCCUCCUCUCUGUGCACUGAGCAUCCUCCUGGGCCAAGAUCACUUCCCUGGUCACAUAGGCCAGAGGUGGAGUCUGUU